rnacentral:lncRNA from 1 species
UUGUCCUCAGGCCCCCUGAUGGUAUUUGCAGGUACCAGUCAUGGUAGGCAGGGGCAGGGUGAUCCCUAAGUCACCAGCAGAAUGUUCAGGUAGCCGGGGCAGCAUUGGUCACACCGUUGCCCUGUCACUGGAGAGCCCAGGGCCAUGUUAGUGGAGGCAAGUGUAGGCCAGCAGAUGGGGAACACUCAUGCAUCAGCCCUA